rnacentral:lncRNA from 1 species
CUGCUUGUCUCUUUCCAUAGAAGUGUCCUUCAACUUCCCCCUGAAUAUAUGUGCUUUCUGUGAGUGAAGGGAGUGAACAUUUCCUCCCCCCCCCAUGAUUCCCUGGCUUUGUCACAUGAAAUAGUGCACAAAAGGAUCCCAGAUCUGGUGGUGAUCAUGCUGCUGGGAGACAGUGGAGGUCAAAGACAGCUUCUGCAACUUCUAAUGCUGACUGGUGUCCUUGGGCAGAUGAGGAGGCAUGUGCUCCUGGUCCCACAGCUGCUUCCUUGUGCUGCUGCUGCUGUCCACCUCACCUCCCUUCCAGUGUCAGGCUGGGCUGGUCCUGUUUCAGCUCUUACAGGAUUCUCGCACUGGUGAGAGUUUGUGUUUGAAAAAGAGAGGGGAAGAGAGAGAGCAGGGAGCAGCAGUCGUAGGCAUGCUGAAGAGUGUAUGUGGGAAAGAACUGGAGGAGGAGGAGGGGAGAAGGCAGAAAUACGAGUGAGAACAUACAAACUGGGGCUUCAUGCAUUGGCACAGAUGAAGCCAUUUUUGGAUGGGUAUAGGAAAUGAAGUAGCAAGGAAAUGAAGAUUUACUGUCACGUUACAAAUUAAUUUUGUUUUUAAAAAUUUGCAAUCCAGUGACCUUUGACCAUUCAAAAGGAACAGAUUGUUGACAUCAGAGAGACUGGAGUACAAAUUCCAUGCAAGUAAUGUGGAACAUACUUCUUUUUGCCUCUUUAGUGUAACGGCUUCAUUUUUGGUGCAAGUUUGAUGAAGUUGUAUAACCUGUUUAAAUCCUGGAUAAGCAAAUCACCAUUUUACUUUGUUGUUGUUUGUUUUAAAUCCUUGUACCAGGAUUUGAUAAUUUAUGAAUACAACACAAUAAAACAUGUUAAUGUUGAUUCUACA